UACGUAGGGUGCAAGCGUUGUCCGGAAUUAUUGGGCGUAAAGAGCUCGUAGGUGGCUUGUCACGUCUGCUGUGAAAACUCGGGGCUCAACCCCGAGCCUGCAGUCGAUACGGGCAGACUAGAGUGCGGUAGGGGGAGACUGGAAUUCCUGGUGUAGCGGUGAAAUGCGCAGGAUAUCAGGAGGAACACCGGUGGCGAAGGCGGGUCUCUGGGCCGUAACUGGACGCUGAGGAGCGAAAGCGUGGGGAGCAAACAGG
rnacentral:rRNA from 1 species